GCAAACUUGGUCAUUUAGAGGAAGUAAAAGUCGUAACAAGGUUUCCGUAGGUAAGUUAUCGCAAUCACCAAAUCCGCGCCGAGAAUGACAAUUUACUAACAUACAAUUCCAGGUGAACCUGCGGAAGGAUCAUUAACGAGUUAGGGUCUUUGGCCCGAUCUCCCAACCCUUUGUAUACUUGACCAUAUGUUGCUUCGGCGGACCCGUCUUUAUUGACCGCCGGGGGACCGUAGAACGUCCUCUGGCCAGUGUCCGUCGGUGGCCUACAUCUCAAAUUCUUCAUUAAACGUGUCUCUGUCUGAACAAAAACAUUUUUAAUAAAUGAAAAGCAAAACUUUCAACAACGGAUCUCUUGGUUCUGGCAUCGAUGAAGAACGCAGC
rnacentral:misc_RNA from 1 species